UCCCAUACCUUGCUCUGCUAUUUUAUUUUUAAUCUUAAUGCUUCCAGAAUAAGUUUGUAUACCAUGAUUUUUUACAGACUUGUCAUUCUAAGGUUGCUUGAAUGACUCAUGGAAGUUAGAAGCUGGGGAAUCUCAAAGAAUGUAUCUCAUGGAAAUCCCAGUAUUGGCAUGUUCCAGUCAGAUUGUCGAGAUCCAAUAGAGAAAAUCAAUAGAAUGAAGGGCAGAAAGAAACUUGCCCACAUAUUUCUUUUCCCAGAAAAUUGAUAUAUUCUCGUGGACUCCAUGGCUGCUGAAUGGCUCUCUCUAUUUGGUGGAACAGGAAGGGAGCAAGCAGGAAAUGAAAUAUCAGAGCUUACCUGGAAAAAGGUAUGAAGAAAUUGAUGGCAAUUGAUCGCCCGUUGGUAAGUAGGUCUACAGAAACAGCAAAUUUCAUGUGUGCUAAUUUGUUUUUAGCUGGGCCUACAAUACAAUGCUCAAAUAGUUAUCAUGUAUAUACAUCCCGAGCAGAGACUGGAUCGUGUUCUUGUUACCAAAAUUUAACGGUACCUGUUGUGUUUAUCAACAUAAUUGAAGUAUGGAAGAAAACAUACUCAUCGUUU